AGCCGCGGUAAUUCCAGCUCCAAUAGCGUAUAUUAAAGUUGUUGCAGUUAAAAAGCUCGUAGUUGAAUUUCGGGAUCAAGGGAUCGGUCAUGCCUUGGUAUGUACUGGUCUUAUUGGUUCUCACCUUCUAAAGAACCAUGAUGUCAUUCAUUUGAUGUUAUGGGGAAUUAGGACUGUUACCUUGAAAAAAUUAGAGUGUUUAAAGCAAGCUUACGCUUGAAUACAUUAGCAUGGAAUAAUGAAAUAGGACAUCAGAUUCUAUUUUGUUGGUUUCUAGGAUCGAUGUAAUGAUUAAUAGGGAUAGUUGGGGGCAUUAGUAUUCAAUUGUCAGAGGUGAAAUUCUUGGAUUUAUUGAAGACUAACUACUGCGAAAGCAUUUGCCAAGGAUGUUUUCAUUAAUCAAGAACGAAAGUUAGGGGAUCGAAGACGAUCAGAUACCGUCGUAGUCUUAACCAUAAACUAUGCCGACUAGGGAUCGGAUGAUGUUAAUUUUUUAAUGACUCAUUCGGCACCUUACG
rnacentral:misc_RNA from 1 species